rnacentral:rRNA from 1 species
UACGUAGGGGGCAAGCGUUGUCCGGAAUCAUUGGGCGUAAAGCGCGUGUAGGCGGCCUGCAUAGUCUGGUGUGAAAUCUCGGGGCUCAACCCCGAGCUGUCACUGGAUACUGGCAGGCUUGAGUCCGGAAGAGGAGUGUGGGAUUCCUGGUGUAGCGGUGGAAUGCGCAGAUAUCUGGAGGAACACCGGUGGCGAAGGCGGCAUCCUGGACCGGCAUUGACGCUGAGGCGCGAAAGCCAGGGGAGCAAACGGG